rnacentral:rRNA from 1 species
CCUACGGGAGGCAGCAGUGGGGAAUAUUGGGCAAUGGGCGAAAGCCUGACCCAGCAACGCCGCGUGAAGGAAGAAGGCUUUCGGGUUGUAAACUUCUUUUAAGAGGGAAGAGCAGAAGACGGUACCUCUUGAAUAAGCCACGGCUAACUACGGACCAGCAGCCGAGGUAAUACGUAGGGGGCACGCGUAGUCCGGAUUUACUGGGGGUAAAGGGCGUGGAGCCGGGAAGACAAGUCAGAAGUGAAAUCCCGAGGCUCAACCGCGGAAAUGCAUUUGAAAUUGUUUUUCUUGAGUGCCGGAGAGGUCAGCGGAAUGCGUUGUGUAGCGGUGAAAUGCGUAGAUAGAAGGUAGAACACCAGUGGCGAAGGCGGAUGACUGGACGGCAACUGACGGUGAGGCGCGAAAGCGUGGGGAGCAAACAGGAUUAGAUACCCCGGUAGUC